CUGGUUGUAGUGUCCUCAAUGCAGUGUUAAACAGCACGGCCUUGUAAGACAUACAGGAGUCAAAAAAUAUUUGAUAUUUAUUUGAUAUAUUUUUAACAUCUGAUAAAGUUUUUUUUAUCAGAUGUUAUUUUUUUAUCAUUUUACUUACUAGUCAGGUGGUUCAUAGUGCCUGGAGAAGUUUUUUUAAAACCUAUAUCUGUAUCCUUUCAGAUAUGUAUUUUAAGUUGUAUAUUCAUGUAAAUGCCGUAUUAUCAGAAUUUAAAAUGAGAAAAAACGCAUUUCGUACAAAUCCAAACGCCAUCCCUUACUCCCUCACAUGCAAAACCCGGGAAAAUUGUCUUUUAUUAGUAGAGUUGUGCGAGGAAAGUCUGCUGGCAGAAUUUAGGAACACUUUUCAGAAGAAACGACUGGAUUCUUUACUUCUGACUCGAGGAGCACGCAACUCAGGCCUGUAUUUUGUGGUAAGUUAAUAUGAAUAUUUACUUUUCCAAUAGGUUAUGGUCGUGGCAAGCUCACAGUUUAAAAUACAAUCUUUGAUAUGAAAGUGUGGAGACAAUUCUGUGAAACAUAGGCAAGGCUAAUUAGCGGGUUAUAUUUUUUGACAAAAAAAAAAGUCUGUUAUAUCAUUUGAAAACCAGCUAUAUAUGCAAGUAAGCCUUUUUAAAUAUGUAGUUUAAGUUGUAAAUUUAUCGCAUAUUGUAUUAAUCAAGGAUUUAUUCCGUAUUCAACGGGGAAAACACGUUUCGUAUGAAGUUCAAACACCAUAUGUCCCUCAUAGUCCUUUGCACACAAAAUUAGUUGGUGGGAAAUUAGUCUGUACGCUAGUAACGUUAGUGAGUUGUGUGGGGAAAGUCUGCUGGCAUAAUUUAGGAAGACUUGUCAUAAGCAGCGACGGGGGUAAGUUUAAUAAUUCUUCUGUAAUGUUUCUGUCAGAACCAGGAUAGUUUUGGCAAAAAACAAAAACAAAAAAAAAAACCUUUCGAGAGCUUGAUAGUUGUCCUAGUAAUGUGUGACCUCCAAACUUUACUGCCCAAAAGGUGCCUAAACGAUUAGGAAGAAAUAAGAGAUAACGUGAAGUGCUGCAUUCUUAUCACUUUUCUCGCCAAUUUGAAUGCAUACAUCAGCACACACCGUUCCGAUGGGUUCUUGACAUCCAAGUUACAGGCAUAACUAGAUUCCCUAUUACCAGCUGUUUCAAUGGGCCGCUAUAUGUAAGC
ensembl:lncRNA